AAACACGCUUACCUCCCCCGUCUCCACCUCCAGCGCGCCGCCGCAGUCGGCCCUCGCCCCUCCACCGCGCGCCGCCACCGCCCCUCCGCCGUGCGCCGCCUCAACCCCUGCGGCUUUCCACCACCGGCGACACUGACGCCGGCGCCGCACCUUCCCCCAACUCCUUUCUCUCCUCCUCCUUCGCCGUCACCACUCUUCAUCAGCCGGCAGACUCCGUCGAAAUGGCCAGGCGGCGCUGGAGUUCACCGGAACGGGUAGGGGGCUGGCGGGCGGCACGAGGAAGAUGACGGAUCAAGGCGCGACGUCGAGGGUUCAGGCGGCUGGUGCGGCAGCUUGCUCCGAUGGCGGCGGUGUCCUGCUCAUCCAGAGAAAGAGAGAGACAUGGCGUGAGGGAGAGAGGAAAGAGAGGAAGAAAUGAGAAGGAGAAGGGGCGCGGGGUGAGGGAGGCAGUCGCCGGCGGUGGCGCCGCUCUGACGCGGCAUCUUUCUUCCCGAUGAAUCAGAAACUGAAGAUGAUGAUCCCAUGGACACAGAAGAAGCUUCCUCUGUCCUCAUCGCUGCACUGCAGUCUUCCAGCCAAGUUCUGAUGAACUUUUAAAUCCAGUUUAGAGAAUUGCUCAUGACUUGACAGAAAUCAUUCUUAUGAGCACAUCGUUUGAUUCUAUUACUAGUAAUCUUCCAUAAAAGAUAGAAUGAAAGAAAGGGUCUACUUUAGCAGUUGAGAUCAAGAUGCUACUCCAAUCUAUAUAUGAAACCAAAUCAGGUGGGCUCGAUGACAAAGAGGUAAUAAGACAUGAACUCUUUCAGUAUAAAAAGUUGAUGGUCCUAAUUAGUUUAUAGCUUAUUUCUUGAUCACUUUAAUUUACACGACAUCUCCAGGGCUUUUCGUGUUCUGUGGUAAUAUAUUCGAUCAUAGUCACAGCUUACACAAGAUGAUUAUUUAUGUUCCUAAUUUAUCUUCCUCUAUCAUGGUGGUAGGGAAACAUCGCCGUUAGUUUGCCUAAGAUAGAAGGACUUCACAUAAUUUUGUCAAUAGCAUUGAUCAGGAUAUCUUUUUUCUUAUUCCUUUCUAUUUGUAGACAAGGAAGAACCAUAGAGAAUCUCGAUCCUUACACUGUAACAGUACCUGAAGCAGAGCAAACCAUUGUCUCAAAUUUAAUAGUAGAUGGAAAGGAAUGGUUGUUUUUGUUGCAGAUUACUCCAAGAACAAGUGCAUUGUCAAGCUAGAUGUUCUAUAUUAUCCGUCCAUAAUCUGGAUGCUUGUGUAUCCCGCGACUUGGUUCAUCCAUGAGAUAUUUGUGUUCAAACACAAGUGUGGGCUGCUUGCAGGGUAGAGCAUAAUUGGAUUUUAAAGCCAUUUAUAAUGUCCUUCAAAACUAUAAGUUUGAACAAAGAAACCACUUCAACUAGCCUAGGGCUAUGUCUAUUAGUCCUCCAGUAUUUCUUGGAAUGAGAUAACACAUGUUUCUUCAAGUGUCUACACACUACCUGAAGUAAGUUUCUUAUAGAAGUAGUCAAACCUGGAUACCAAUUUAUUGAAACAUUAUAUUUCUUAUAGAAGUAGUCAAACAAGGAUAUCAAUUUAUUGGAACCAUCAAGGAAGAGACACUCCUGGAGGGUCAGAAGUAAUGCAAUAUAUUCUCCCUCUUAUGCCUAUUUGAAAUACAGUUGUAGGGUUGUACUUUGCCACUCAUAUUGCAGU